GAUCCUGGCUCAGAUUGAACGCUGGCGGCGUGCUUAACACAUGCAAGUCGCGCGUGAAAGGACUUCGGUCCGAGUAAAGCGGCGCACGGGUGAGUAACGCGUGGAUGAUCUACCCAUGAGUUAGGAAUAACGGCUGGAAACGGUCGCUAAUACCAAAUACGCUCCGAUUUCAACUUCGGGGGAAAGGUGGCCUCUGCUUGCAAGCUACUGCUCAUGGAUGAGUCCGCGUCCCAUUAGCUAGUUGGUGGGGUAACGGCCCACCAAGGCGACGAUGGUAGCCGGUCUGAGAGGAUGACCGGCCACACUGGGACUGGAACACGGCCCAGACUCCUACGGGAGGCAGCAGUGGGGAAUAUUGCGCAAUGGGCGAAAGCCUGACGCAGCGACGCCGCGUGAGGGAUGAAGGUCCUCGGAUCGUAAACCUCUGUCAGGAGGGAAGAACCGCCACGGUGCUAAUCAGCCGUGGUCUGACGGUACCUCCAAAGGAAGCACCGGCUAACUCCGUGCCAGCAGCCGC
rnacentral:rRNA from 1 species